rnacentral:tRNA from 1 species
GGAUGGGUGGCCGAGCGGUUUAAGGCACCGGUCUUGAAAACCGGCAGGGGUUUACGCCUCUCGUGGGUUCGAAUCCCACCCCAUCCGCCA